CUCAGACCCACGGAUCAGGAACUGGUUUGAACAGGGUCUCCCGGUGGUGAUGUGUAGGUGCACUAAGUUUGAGAAUCGCUGCUCUACAGUAUGCACAGUUUCCAGGAUGCUAGCCCCUGUCUGCAGCCAAAUAUCUGCGCGGUAGAUGGUGCUUCUUGCAAGUCAAAGAGGCGCAAAGUGUUUCCUGUUGCUGAGAGAAGAGAUUGCAGAACGUGGUAAAGGAAGCUGAGGAAUGUUGCAAAAUCUUUAAAGGUGGCCUGAAGUAACCGAAGAAUCACAAAAGAAGUGAAAACGCCCUGCCCCGCCUUAACUGAUGACAUUCCACCACAGAAGAAGUGAAAAUGGCCAGUCGUUGCCUUAACUGAUGACACUGUCUUGUGAAAGUCCUUUUCCUGGCUCAUCCUGGCUCAAAAGCUCCCCUACUGAACACCUUGUGACCCCCACUCCUGCCCGCCAGAGAACAAUCCCCCUUUGACUGUAAUUUUCCUUUACCUACCCAAAUCUUAUAAAACGGCCCCACCCCUAUCUCCCUUCACUUACUCUCUUUUUGGACUCAGCCCACCUGCACCCAGGUGAUUAAAAAGCUUUAUUGUUCACACAAAGCCUGUUUAGUAGUCUCUUCACACGGACAUGCAAGAAAGUGGUCUCCACAGUGAGACAGGUAAAUCUCACAGUGUGGACAAGGUAAUCCAUUGAAAUACACAAAGAAAAACUAGCAACCACUACUUUUAUUUAUUCAUUACAUUACAAUUUUAAUUUUAUUCUUUAUGUAUAUUCUUUUGUUUUGGAUGUUUU
rnacentral:lncRNA from 10 species